UGAAUACGAGACGCUAAGGCGUCGAAGUAGUGUAUGUCAUACUUCCAAGAAAAGCUUGCACUGUCAUAAGUAAAAAAUGCCUGUACCAUAACCGACACAGGUGGGUAGGUAGAGUAUACUAAGGGGCGCGAGAUAACUCUCUCUAAGGAACUCGGCAAAAUAACACCGUAACUUCGGGAGAAGGAGUACCUUAUUCUAUAAGGUUGCAAUAACAAGAUCCAAGCAACUGUUUAUCAAAAACACAGGUCUCCGCUAAGUCGUAAGACGAUGUAUGGGGGCUGACGCCUGCCCAGUGCCAGAAGGUUAAAGAAGUCGGUUAGCAUUAGCGAAGCUGGUAACUGAAGCCCUGGUGAACGGCGGCCGUAACAAUAACGGUCCUAAGGUAGCGAAAUUCUUUGUCGGGUAAGCUCCGACCCGCACGAAAGGCGUAAUGAUUUGGAUACUGUCUCGGAGAGGGGCUCGGUGAAAUAGACUUGUCUGUGAAGAUGCGGACUACCUGCACCAGGACAGAAAGACCCUAUGAAGCUUUACUGUAACUUGAAAUUGAAAUUGGACUUUAUUCGCGCAGUAUAGGUGGGAGGUGUUGAUUAUAAUCUUGCGGGAUUAUUGGAGCCAUCAGUGAGAUACCACUCUUGUAAUGUUAGAUUUCUAACUUUGAAUCAUUAUCUGGUCAAAGGACAGUUUCAGGCGGGCAGUUUGACUGGGGCGGUCGCCUCCCAAACGGUAACGGAGGCGUACAAAGGUUUCCUCUGAACGGGUAGAAAUCGUAUCUAGAGUGUAAAGGCAUAAGGAAGCUUGACUGUGAGACCUACAAGUCGAACAGGGACGAAAGUCGGUCUUAGUGAUCUGACGGUACUGAGUGGAAAGGCCGUCACUCAACGGAUAAAAGUUACUCUAAGGAUAACAGGCUGAUCUCCCCCAAGAGUUCACAUCGACGGGGAGGUUUGGCACCUCGAUGUCGGCUCAUCGCAUCCUGGGGCGGUAGUACGUCCCAAGGGUUGGGCUGUUCGCCCAUGAAAGCGGUACGCGAGCUGGGUUCAGAACGUCGUGAGACAGUUCGGUCCAUAUCCGGUGUAGGCGUUAGAAUAUUGAGAGGAGCCUUCUUUAGUACGAGAGGACCGAGAAGGACAUACCUCUGGUGUACCAGUUAUCGUGCCAACGGUAAACGCUGGGUAGCUAUGUAUGGAGUGGAUAACCGCUGAAAGCAUCUAAGUGGGAAGCCCACCUCAAGAUAAGUAUUCUC
rnacentral:rRNA from 1 species